GACGAACGCUGGCGGCGUGCUUAACACAUGCAAGUCGAACGGAAAGGCCCUGCUUUUGUGGGGUGCUCGAGUGGCGAACGGGUGAGUAACACGUGAGUAUCCCGCCCUUGUCAUUGGGAUAACUCCAGGAAACUGGGGCUCAUACCGGAUAGGAGCUCCUGACGCACGGUGGGGGUUGGAAAGUUUCGGCGGUGGGGGAUGGACUCGCGGCUUAUCAGCUUGUUGGUGGGGUAGUCGCUUACAAAGGCUUUGACGGGUAGCCGGCCUGAGAGGGUGACCGGCCUCUUGGGGACUACGGUACGGCCCAGUCUCCUACGGGCGGCAAUAGUGGGGAGUAUUGCGCAGUAGCCGGGAGCCUGAUACGGCGGCGCCGCGUGCGUGAUGCCGGCCUUCGGGUUGAGAACCGCUUUCGCAGGUGCCGAGGCGUGAUUGACGGUAAUGAGUAAGGAAGCACCGGCUAACUACGUG
rnacentral:rRNA from 1 species